GACAGAGGUGCCAAGCGUUAGGCGGAAUCACUGGGCUUAAAGCGUGUGUAGGCGGAUUUGUAAGUACCUUGUGAAAUCCCACGGCUCAACCGUGGAACUGCUCGGUAUACUGCUUAUCUUGAGCCACUUAGGGGCUACCGGAACAAAUGGUGGAGCGGUGAAAUGCGUAGAUAUCGUUUGGAACGCCAAUGGUGAAAACAGGUAGCUGGGGAUGUGCCGACGCUGAGACACGAAAGCCAGGGGAGCGAACGGG
rnacentral:rRNA from 1 species